rnacentral:tRNA from 2 species
GGGCUUGUAGCUCAAUGGCAGAGCAGUCGGCUCAUAACCGACCGGUUCCAGGUUCGAAUCCUGGCGGGCCCA